CAGCAGCCGCGGGAAUACGUAGGGUGCGAGCGUUAAUCAGAAUUACUGGGCGUAAAGCGUGCGCAGGCGGUUUUGUAAGACAGGCGUGAAAUCCCCGGGCUCAACCCAUAGACUGCAUGAGAAACUACCGGGCUUGAGUGAUGGAGAGGUGAGUGGAAUUUCCGGUGUAGCGGUGAAAUGCGUAGAUAUCGGAAGGAACACCUGUGGCGAAAGCGGCUCACUGGACAUUAACUGACGCUGAUGCACGAAAGCUAGGGGAGCAAACAGGAUUAGAUACCCCUGUAGUCCCUGUCUCUUAUAC
rnacentral:rRNA from 1 species